AAAAAAAAAGCUUAUCGUCGUUGUAGACUCUUCUUCGUCUUUCCCAAACUCCUUCAUCCAUGGUGAAUUGGCUCCUUCGUCUUCCUCUGUGGCUCUUCGCCACCAUCACAUUUGCCGUCUCUCUCUCUCGCUUCUUCUUCUUAUUCCCUUCGUUUUAUCAAUUCCAAUUGCACAGAAACUAAAAUUGUAGAGGUCAUUGACCUAGAUCUGGGAAACAACAAUCUAUAAGAAACAGAAGAUGAAUCCUCAGACAAGUAUGGCUCUGCGUGAAGACGUCAUUCAAAGAAUUGUCUAUGUGUCUGAUAUCGACCAACAGGUCACUGAGGAGCAGCUUUAAUUGUUUGUUCAUCGGCUUUGGGCAGGUCAAAGUCUCUUCUACAAGUUCAUAUUUGUUUGUGACUCAAGAAUUAGGACUAGUCCUGUUUUUGGUUCUCAGGCUGAAGAUGAGCAUGAGAUGCGUGCGAGAACUAUCUACUACACUAACAUCGACACUAAGGUGAUUCUCUAAGAUUUUUUUUCCUUCACAGCUCUAUAAUGAAACAUAAAGUAGCUAACUUUGAUGAGUUUACAUGUCACUCAAACGGACAUAAAACUCUUCUUUGAGGCUGCGUGUGGAGAGGUAUACCGUCUGAGGCUUCUGGGAGAUUAUCAUCAUCCAACUAGAAUCAGUUUCGUUGAGUUUGUCAUGGCUGAAAGUGCAGUAACUACUCUCAAUUGCAGUGGCGUGCUUCUUGGCUCUUUACAGAUAAGGGUGAGUCCCUCAAAUACACCUGUUUGUUCCCGUGCUAUCUCUGCUCUCCCAGACAUGUAAAGAUCUUAAACUCUAAAGUCUUUUGUUUUCCCAUGUGUAAUUCUUGGAAGCUUGAUGAUGCUUCUGUUGUCUUUUGCUUUGAGACGAACAAAAGAAUAUGCUUUUAAAAUGUUGGAUAUUCUGAGAGGUCAACCAGAUGCAGGGUCUUCCCUUUUCCACAAUCAGAAAAUAUGAAUCUUGACGACAGAGGAGGCAAGGCGUGGUCGUGCGGUGGAGAUGCGAGCAUCGCUGUGCGGAGGUUUUCAUGGGUGAGCCAGUAUUGUUUCCUCUAUUGUGAAUAUCCAACGGGUGAAAAUGUGGCUUGGCUCUUCUUAGGUGUUGCCAAUACGAGUAUCAUUCUCCGUGAUGAUGAGUUCCUGAACUACCUAAAAGAUCAUCAAAAGAACUUUAGGUUUGAAAGAAUGUAGCUUAUAUUUACGUAUGUGAGAGCUGGAACACGAAGCUUUCUUAGCUUAUUUGUUUUUUUCACUCUUAAUGUUUUGAUUUGAUUUAAGCUUCUUAUUUAAUAAUUGAAUCGAUGUGGUUUGAGUUUUCAAAUAUGUUUAUGGUAAGUGUUGUUUCGUGAAAAAAAAUUCUAGAAUAAUUCUUAGACAAAAAAUUAUUGAUCAUCAUCAACUAUGUAACGACACUAUACAUCAAGAAAACUACAUGAGCUUCCAUUCGAUGACAUAAACUCUGCCAAAGAGUAUUUCAAACCCUAAACCCCAAAACGUAAUCCGAAACCUUAUAUCAUACUUUGAACCCUAAACUUUAAAUACAAAAUCUAAAUUUUAAACUUAAUCCUUGAUAAAAACUCAAAAUUUAAUCAUUUUAAAAGUCAAACAUUAAAUCUUAAAUCUACACCCUAUAUCUAAUACCUAUACUCCAAACUUAAACUAUACAUACAAAAUCAUAGAUCUAAUCUUUACAAACCCAUUAAUAAUUUUUAAAUAAUUAUUAUUUAUAUUAAUUUAAUAUUUAUUAAAUUAAACCACUAAAAUAAAAUCAAGUUGAAUAACAAAUGAUUAAAUCAACAAAAAACCAUAAUGCAGGUCUAAAUUAUCUCAAAUUUUUAGAAAAACAGUUCCAUUUACAAUAAAAAUGAAAUCAUAUAAACUAAAUUUUAAAAAUUAUAGAAAAAAAUUUUAAAACACACAAAAUGAUUUUAUCAAUGUAGAGAGGAUUAAAAAUAUAAAAUAUUUAUUUAAAUUAAAAUAUUAAAAAUAAAAUCACUGUAAAAUAAGUUUAACAACAGAUUAAAUAAACAAAAUCAUAAUACGGAUCAUAAUUAUUUGGAGUCUUCAAAAAUUUAGUCCUAUUUAAAAUAACAAAAAUAAGUCAUAUAAAUAAAACUUAAUAUAAAUUUCAUUAAAAAUAAAUAUAUAACUUAUUAAAAAUCAUAAUUUUGAUUAAUUAAAAUAAUUUUUUCAACGAAGGGUGGGUCAGAAUCUAGUUGUUUUAGUAAAUGACUAAAUGGGUUACACAAGUUUCAAGUUGAGCCAACUUCUCCCAUGCCUCCAUUAUCUCUAGAGACAAUCUCCUAUGGGCCUCUCAAAUCUCCUAUACUCUCAUUGCUUUAAUGAAACAUGAAUAUCCGGUUUUGCCCUUUUCAUUUUCGAAAUUAUUUUUUAAUAAAAAAUUUCAAAUUUUUAAAUUUCAAAAUUUCAAAAUUUCAAAAUUUCAAAAUUUCAAAAUUUCAAAAUUUCAAAAAUUUCAAAAAUUUCAAAAUUUCAAAUUAUACGGUAUAGUUUUACUCAGUUAUACUUCGUUCUACUGGGUUAUACUAAUGUUUAGUUAUACUGAAUUAUACUGGUUAUACUAUGUUAUACUGACUUAUAUUGAGUAUUACUAAGUAAGUACUACUGAGUGGUACUACUAAGUGCAGUUAUACCAAGUUCUACUAAGUUAUACUGUGUAAAACUGAUUACUACCCGAGUUAGUUAUACUGAGUUCUACUAGUUAUACUAAGUUCUAUUAGUUAUACUGAGUUCUACUAAGUACUACUGAGUUCUACUAAGUACUACUGAGUUCUUUAUAACCGCUGUAGCUUCUCUGCCAUCUUUGAUUAUGUGGUUAUUAGAUAUAAAACGAAGAAAGAAAGAAGAAAUCUUCACUAUCGGAUUUUAUAUCGAAGAAGAAAGGAGAAGAAACAAAAAAAAAAAAAAGAGAAGUUGCAGAGAGGAAGAGAAAAGACACCGUAGAAGAAGAGAGAAAGAAAAGGAAAAAUUGGAUAAUUAGUGAAUAGAAACUGAUUCAUAGAUAUUUAGGGUUAAUAAUCAGGGACAAAAAUGUAAUCAACCAACUUUUCGAAUUAAAAAUAAUUCAAAAAGAAAAGAGUUUUUACUAAAGUUUUUUAGAGCAUCAGCAAUGUCAAUACUCUCUCUCGAUAACCAAGGUGAGUUUUUAAAUUAUUUUAUUAUUUUUAUUUUUCAUUCAGUUUAAAAAAAAAAAAAAGAGUCAGUCACGGGUUCCCACGUGGCGAUGGGACCCGUGCACAGUAACGUAUCUGAGAAAGAUUAGUCCUUAGCUAAGGAUUAAUUUGGCACAUAUUUUUAAAUUCAAAGAGUCCCACAGAUUAUUAUAAUAAGUUUAAUGCUAAGGAUUUUGUUAAAAAUCAGCAUUGGAAGUGGUUUUAGAGAUUGGUUUAUAAGAUAAAGGGGCAAUAGAGGUGAUGUCUCCCUCUGGUUUCAACUUUCAAGUGAAGAAGAAUCCGUUGACAUGGAAGGGAUCUUGCCCGGGAAGAGGGGUCGAUUAGUAUGUUUUUCCACAUUUUCAAAAUGAAUGAUUAUUAACUAUACCAUUACAAUGUCUUGGUCCAAUCAACUGAAUUUCAUCCUAACUAACCACUAUAGGAUUCAAAGACCUUGUCAUUAACCGGUUUGUUUUAAUCAUAGUAUCACAAAACCGGUACGAUUUUAAGUCUUAAAACCGGUUCAAUUUGUGCAGUAAACCCAACCCUGGCUUGUUUCUUCUUCCUCACUCGCUCUCUGCGCCGCCUUCUCUCUCGAUCUUGUCUAUUCCCUUUGGCAAAGCUUCUACGAUCUUCCUCCUGUGGUCUCGUUUCUUAAAAGGAUCUGGUUCAAUAUCAAGCUUCUUCGAUGUUCCCAGAAAAUUAAACCUAGACUUGUCGAACGACACAGAUCUUAGAUAUGGAAUCGUUGCGUCCAUUUGAAAAAUCAGUGGCAUCGAAACCCUAAUCUCGAACUUGUAUGUUUAGGAUGAAAGUAUAUGGAUGUGGAAUUGCUUCUGUUUGCACAAAUAAAUUUAGAUGCUUUUGAGAGACUUGAUGGAUUCUUGUGUAGCAGAUGUUAUAUGAUUUGAGUUCGAUGCAGAUGCAUUAGUAUUACUUCAUACACAACAACAUGCUUGUGAUGUGUUCUUGGACUGAUUCCAUAGGAUGGUCUGAUCUUGAUCUGAUAUUAGUAGUACAGAAGCAAUGGCGAGCGGUGGCGGCGGCUUGAGAGAACCACCGAACGAGCAAGCCGUUCUGAAUAUCUACGAGGCUAUGAGAUCAGAGCUAAGCCAGAUCUAUUCCAACAUAACUGAUCUCGAGAUGCAAGUCAGCGAGCACUCUCUCGUCAUCAACGCAAUUCAGCCUCUCGACCAAUCUAGGAAAUGCUUCCGCAUGAUAGGAGGCGUUCUUGUCGAGAGAACCGUCGUGCGAUGAUUUACUUCACGGGCGAGGUCUCUGGUUCAAAUCCAGGAUGGCCCAGCUGCGCCAAGGAAAAGAAUAUAAGAAGGAUCUGACUCCUUCAUGCAUGCUCCACUUGGCUCGGGGGGAUAUAGCGACUUUGUAAUAUUUGAUUGAUCACAACUCGGUAUAUUCCGUUUACUAUAGAAGUUCCAGAGAGGUGCUCCCAGCUGUCCAGCGCAACAAGGAAGGGCUCGAGGAGGUUGUGAGGAAGCUUUACGAGACGUUGGAGAAGAAGAAGAAAGAUAUGACGGAGUUUGAAGCUAAGAAUCAGAUCAGGCUAAGGAAGCAGGACGAUUCUAAUAAGGAAGAAGGUGAUAAGAAAAAGGAAGGUAAUGCUCAAGGUGUUCUUGUUGGAGCUGCUGCCACUUCGAGUCAGUAAAAGUUUCUCCCUUUACUCUUGUAUCUUCUUUAAUGGUGCUUUGUUAAGUUUCUCUGGAGCACACUUAAAUGUUUUGGCAUGUUACAAAACUCAGUAGACUGGAGAAUUAAUUUCCUUUUAUAGAUAAGGUUGUGUUAUGAUUUCUUAUA